rnacentral:rRNA from 1 species
AUUGAACGCUGGCGGCAUGCCUUACACAUGCAAGUCGAACGGUAACAGGUCUUCGGAUGCUGACGAGUGGCGAACGGGUGAGUAAUACAUCGGAACGUGCCUAGUAGUGGGGGAUAACUACUCGAAAGAGUGGCUAAUACCGCAUGAGAUCUACGGAUGAAAGCAGGGGAUCGCAAGACCUUGUGCUACUAGAGCGGCCGAUGGCAGAUUAGGUAGUUGGUGGGAUAAAAGCUUACCAAGCCGACGAUCUGUAGCUGGUCUGAGAGGACGAUCAGCCAGACUGGGACUGAGAAACGGCCCAGACUCCUACGGGAGGCAGCAGUGGGGAAUUUUGGACAAUGGGCGCAAGCCUGAUCCAGCAAUGCCGCGUGCAGGAGGAAGGCCUUCGGGUUGUAAACUGCUUUUGUACGGAACGAAAAGCCCCGGGUUAAUACCCUGGGGUCAUGACGGUACCGUAAGAAUAAGCACCGGCUAACUACGUGCCAGCCGCCGCGGUAA